rnacentral:rRNA from 1 species
UACGGAGGGAGCUAGCGUUGUUCGGAUAUACUGGGCGUAAAGCGCACGUAGGCGGCGCCGUAAGUCAGGGGUGAAAUCCCGGAGCUCAACUCCGGAACUGCCCUUGAAACUGCAGUGCUAGAAUCUUGGAGAGGCGAGUGGAAUUCCGAGUGUAGAGGUGAAAUUCGUAGAUAUUCGGAAGAACACCAGUGGCGAAGGCGGUUCUCUGGGACGGUACUGACGCUGAGACGCGAAAGCGUGGGGAGCGAACAGG